GGGGGUAUAGCUCAGUGGCAGAGUGCGUGCUUAGCAUGCAUCAGGUCCUGGGUUCGAUCCCCAGUGCCUCCA
rnacentral:tRNA from 1 species